GUUUGAUCCUGGCUCAGGAUGAACGCUAGCGGCAGGCCUAAUACAUGCAAGUCGAGGGGCAGCACGGUUUUCGGACUGGUGGCGACCGGCGCACGGGUGCGUAACGCGUAUGCAACCUACCCUAUACAGGGGGAUAGCCCAGAGAAAUUUGGAUUAAUACCCCAUAGUACCAUUUGAGGGCAUCUGAGGAUGGUUAAAGAUUUAUUGGUAUAGGAUGGGCAUGCGUUAGAUUAGUUAGUUGGUGAGGUAACGGCUCACCAAGGCGACGAUCUAUAGGGGUUCUGAGAGGAUGAUCCCCCACACUGGCACUGAGAUACGGGCCAGACUCCUACGGGAGGCAGCAGUAGGGAAUUUUCCGCAAUGGGCGAAAGCCUGACGGAGCAAUCUCGCGUGAGGGAUGACGGCCUAUGGGUUGUAAACCUCUUUUUUCAGGGAGGAACAAAAUGACGUGUACCUGAAGAAUAAGCAUCGGCUAACUCCGUGCCAGCAGCCGCGGUAAUACGGAGGGUGCAAGCGUUAAUCGGAAUUACUGGGCGUAAAGCGCGCGUAGGCGGUUUGUUAAGUGAGAUGUGAAAGCCCAGGGCUCAACCUUGGAACUGCAUCUCAUACUGGCAGGCUAGAGUAUGGUAGAGGGAGGUAGAAUUCCACGUGUAGCGGUGAAAUGCGUAGAGAUGUGGAGGAAUACCAGUGGCGAAGGCGGCCUCCUGGACUAAUACUGACGCUGAGGUGCGAAAGCGUGGGGAGCGAACAGGAUUAGAUACCCUGGUAGUCCACGCCGUAAACGAUGUCAACUAGCCGUUGGAGAUCUUAGUAUCUUUAGUGGCGUAGCUAACGCGCUAAGUUGACCGCCUGGGGAGUACGGUCGCAAGAUUAAAACUCAAAGGAAUUGACGGGGGCUCACACAAGCGGUGGAGCAUGUGGCUUAAUUCGA
rnacentral:rRNA from 1 species